CAUGAUACCAGUCCUGGAGGAGUUGAUUGAAGGAAGAGAAGCAAACAUACUCUAUGGCAUUCCUGUCAAACAUCACAUCUGUUCUCCCACUCAUAUGCUCUCUCCACACACACAGUCACACAUUGAUGUGCACAAUCGGGUCAGGGAGUGUGAAGAGAACCCACAGGCAGACUUGUAUCCCGGAUUCCCUGCCAUUUGAGUUCAGCUGUCUCAGCCUUUGAAGUGGGUACAGACAGCUGGAUGUUGGAAGAAGCCGAUGCUGAAGUUGAGGAGAGAACUCGGGGAUGCGUGCAUAUUUUUGAAACGUGGCAUGGUGACUGUUGGAGCAUUUGGGGGUUGGUCUGUGAUGGAUGAAGGAGCAGAGGAGGGAAGAGAAGGAUAAAGACUCAGAGAA